ACGAACGCUGGCGGCACGCUUAACACAUGCAAGUCGAACGAGAGAAGAGAAGCUUGCUUUUCUGAUCUAGUGGCGGACGGGUGAGUAACACGUGAGCAAUCUGCCUUUCAGAGGGGGAUACCGAUUGGAAACGAUCGUUAAUACCGCAUAACAUAAUUGAACCGCAUGAUUUGAUUAUCAAAGAUUUAUCGCUGAAAGAUGAGCUCGCGUCUGAUUAGCUAGUUGGUAAGGUAACGGCUUACCAAGGCGACGAUCAGUAGCCGGACUGAGAGGUUGAUCGGCCACAUUGGGACUGAGACACGGCCCAGACUCCUACGGGAGGCAGCAGUGGGGAAUAUUGCACAAUGGAGGAAACUCUGAUGCAGCGAUGCCGCGUGAGGGAAGAAGGUUUUAGGAUUGUAAACCUCUGUCUUCAGGGACGAAAAAAGACGGUACCUGAGGAGGAAGCUCCGGCUAACUACGUGCCAGCAGCCGCGGUAAUACGUAGGGAGCGAGCGUUGUCCGGAAUUACUGGGUGUAAAGGGAGCGUAGGCGGGAUCGCAAGUCAGAUGUGAAAACUAUGGGCUUAACCCAUAAACUGCAUUUGAAACUGUGGUUCUUGAGUGAAGUAGAGGUAAGCGGAAUUCCUAGUGUAGCGGUGAAAUGCGUAGAUAUUAGGAGGAACAUCAGUGGCGAAGGCGGCUUACUGGGCUUUAACUGACGCUGAGGCUCGAAAGCGUGGGGAGCAAACAGGAUUAGAUACCCUGGUAGUCCACGCCGUAAACGAUGAUUACUAGGUGUGGGGGGACUGACCCCUUCCGUGCCGCAGCAAACGCAAUAAGUAAUCCACCUGGGGAGUACGACCGCAAGGUUGAAACUCAAAGGAAUUGACGGGGGCCCGCACAAGCAGUGGAGUAUGUGGAUUAAUUCGAAGCAACGCGAAGAACCUUACCAGGUCUUGACAUCGUAUGCAUAGCUCAGAGAUGAGUGAAAUCUCUUCGGAGACAUAUAGACAGAUGGUGCAUGGUUGUCGUCAGCUCGUGUCGUGAGAUGUUGGGUUAAGUCCCGCAACGAGCGCAACCCUUACUGUUAGUUGCUACGCAAGAGCACUCUAGCAGGACUGCCGUUGACAAAACGGAGGAAGGUGGGGAUGACGUCAAAUCAUCAUGCCCCUUAUGACCUGGGCCUCACACGUACUACAAUGGCUGUCAACAGAGGGAAGCAAAGCCGCGAGGUGGAGCAAACCCCUAAAAGCAGUCUUAGUUCGGAUUGUAGGCUGCAACCCGCCUACAUGAAGUCGGAAUUGCUAGUAAUCGCAGAUCAGCAUGCUGCGGUGAAUACGUUCCCGGGCCUUGUACACACCGCCCGUCACGCCAUGGGAGUCGGUAACACCCGAAGCCUGUAGUCUAACCGCAAGGAGGACGCAGUCGAAGGUGGGAUUGAUGACUGGGGUG
rnacentral:rRNA from 1 species